rnacentral:rRNA from 1 species
AUUGAACGCUGGCGGCAUGCUUUACACAUGCAAGUCGAACGGUAACAGGCCGCAAGGUGCUGACGAGUGGCGAACGGGUGAGUAAUGCAUCGGAACGUGCCCAGUCGUGGGGGAUAACUACUCGAAAGAGUAGCUAAUACCGCAUACGAUCUAUGGAUGAAAGCGGGGGGCCGUAAGGCCUCGCGCGAUUGGAGCGGCCGAUGUCAGAUUAGGUAGUUGGUGGGGUAAAGGCUCACCAAGCCAACGAUCUGUAGCUGGUCUGAGAGGACGACCAGCCACACUGGGACUGAGACACGGCCCAGACUCCUACGGGAGGCAGCAGUGGGGAAUUUUGGACAAUGGGCGCAAGCCUGAUCCAGCAAUGCCGCGUGCAGGAAGAAGGCCUUCGGGUUGUAAACUGCUUUUGUACGGAACGAAACGGCUCUGGUUAAUACCCGGGGCUAAUGACGGUACCGUAAGAAUAAGCACCGGCUAACUACGUG